rnacentral:rRNA from 1 species
AGAGUUUGAUCCUGGCUCAGGACGAACGCUGGCGGCACGCUUAACACAUGCAAGUCGAACGAGAGAAGAGGAGCUUGCUUUUCUGAUCUAGUGGCGGACGGGUGAGUAACACGUGAGCAAUCUGCCUUUCAGAGGGGGAUACCGAUUGGAAACGAUCGUUAAUACCGCAUAACAUAAUUGAACCGCAUGAUUUGAUUAUCAAAGAUUUAUCGCUGAAAGAUGAGCUCGCGUCUGAUUAGCUAGUUGGUAAGGUAACGGCUUACCAAGGCGACGAUCAGUAGCCGGACUGAGAGGUUGAUCGGCCACAUUGGGACUGAGACACGGCCCAGACUCCUACGGGAGGCAGCAGUGGGGAAUAUUGCUCAAUGGAGGAAACUCUGAUGCAGCGAUGCCGCGUGAGGGAAGAAGGUUUUAGGAUUGUAAACCUCUGUCUUCAGGGACGAAAAAAGACGGUACCUGAGGAGGAAGCUCCGGCUAACUACGUGCCAGCAGCCGCGGUAAUACGUAGGGAGCGAGCGUUGUCCGGAAUUACUGGGUGUAAAGGGAGCGUAGGCGGGAUCGCAAGUCAGAUGUGAAAACUAUGGGCUUAACCCAUAAACUGCAUUUGAAACUGUGGUUCUUGAGUGAAGUAGAGGUAAGCGGAAUUCCUAGUGUAGCGGUGAAAUGCGUAGAUAUUGGGAGGAACAUCAGUGGCGAAGGCGGCUUACUGGGCUUUAACUGACGCUGAGGCUCGAAAGCGUGGGGAGCAAACAGGAUUAGAUACCCUGGUAGUCCACGCCGUAAACGAUGAUUACUAGGCGUGGGGGGACUGACCCCUUCCGUGCCGCAGCAAACGCAAUAAGUAAUCCACCUGGGGAGUACGACCGCAAGGUUGAAACUCAAAGGAAUUGACGGGGGCCCGCACAAGCAGUGGAGUAUGUGGAUUAAUUCGAAGCAACGCGAAGAACCUUACCAGGUCUUGACAUCGUAUGCAUAGCUCAGAGAUGAGUGAAAUCUCUUCGGAGACAUAUAGACAGGUGGUGCAUGGUUGUCGUCAGCUCGUGUCGUGAGAUGUUGGGUUAAGUCCCGCAACGAGCGCAACCCUUACUGUUAGUUGCUACGCAAGAGCACUCUAGCAGGACUGCCGUUGACAAAACGGAGGAAGGUGGGGAUGACGUCAAAUCAUCAUGCCCCUUAUGACCUGGGCCUCACACGUACUACAAUGGCUGUCAACAGAGGGAAGCAAAGCCGCGAGGUGGAGCGAACCCCUAAAAGCAGUCUUAGUUCGGAUUGUAGGCUGCAACCCGCCUACAUGAAGUCGGAAUUGCUAGUAAUCGCAGAUCAACAUGCUGCGGUGAAUACGUUCCCGGGCCUUGUACACACCGCCCGUCACGCCAUGGGAGUCGGUAACACCCGAAGCCUGUAGUCUAACCGCAAGGAGGACGCAGUCGAAGGUGGGAUUGAUGACUGGGGUGAAGUCGUAACAAGGUA